GGUGGCUCAGUGGUAGAGCACUUGCCUUGAAUGUCUGAGGCCCUGGGUUCGAUUCCCCAGCACCA
rnacentral:tRNA from 1 species